rnacentral:rRNA from 1 species
CCUACGGGGGGCAGCAGUGGGGAAUAUUGGACAAUGGGGGGAACCCUGAUCCAGCGACGCCGCGUGAGUGAAGAAGUAUUUCGGUAUGUAAAGCUCUAUCAGCAGGGAAGAAAGAAAUGACGGUACCUGACUAAGAAGCCCCGGCUAACUACGUGCCAGCAGCCGCGGUAAUACGUAGGAGGCAAGCGUUAUCCGGAAUGACUGGGCGUAAAGGGUGCGUAGGUGGUUUGACAAGUUGGUAGCGUAACUCCGGGGCUCAACCUCGGCACUACUACCAAAACUGUCGGACUUGAGUGCAGGAGGGGCAAAUGGAAUUCCUAGUGUAGCGGUGGAAUGCGUAGAUAUUAGGAGGAACACCAGUGGCGAAGGCGAUUUGCUGGACUGUAACUGACACUGAGGCACGAAAGCGUGGGGAGCAAACAGGAUUAGAUACCCGAGUAGUC